rnacentral:misc_RNA from 1 species
AACGGUCUAUACCUGCGGUACCUGCGGAAGGAUCAUUAUAGAGUGGUAAACCCCCCGUAAAAGGGGGGGACCUCCUGUCCUUUGUAGGCUCUUUUUUAAAAGGGCUUUUUUUAAUUUUCUGCUUCGGUGGGGUUAUCCCACCGGAACAACCUCAAAACUCUUAUCAAAAAAUCGUUCUGUCUGAGAACCUUUUAUAAUAAAAAGAAACUUUUAGCAAUGGAUCUCUAGAUCGGAAGAGCA